rnacentral:sRNA from 1 species
GCGAUAAGCAAUGCGAAUUGCAGAACCGUGAGUCAUCAGAUUUUUGAACGCAACUGGCGCCGGCGGGCUGCUCCUGCCGGCAUGCUUGUUUCAGUGUCUCCUUUCUCCCUCACCCAAAUCUUAAUGCGAGAGAUGCCCUUCUCUUGUCAAACGCGAAAGCACUCUGUCUUGCGAGCGGCCCUCCUUUGGGCCGCAACUCGAUGCAGCGGUCACAUUGCUCACAAUGUGAACUCAUUGAGAAGCAGCGACAGCGGGCAGAGGCGUACCGUCCCUGCCGAGUGCUUGUCACCCAAACUUCAUCUGCAUCUGAACUCAAGCAGGACCACCCGCGUGAACUUAAGCAUAUCAAUAAGCGGAGGA